GUGGAUCCUGUGGCAACUAAAGCUACCUGGGUUGGCCACAGAGAAGUCAGUUUUCUUUGUUCACUUGUAACAUCAGCUCCCACUUCCUGGCGUCUGCCUGAGGCAGGCACCUUUGACACAGUACUUCCGACCCAGGAAGACACCCUGUAGACCCAUCUUACAAGAGGAGACGAGGUUGGAGGGAGGAUAAGGAAUGUCUCAGGCCACACGUGUUACCUGCCAACUCCUCACCAGCUCCCUGGCGUCCGCGGGCUCCUCUAGGAAAUGCAGAGACGCUCUCUUCUUCCCCGGCCCAGCAGCCGCUGCAGGGGCAGCCCUGGUGAGGCAGGGGCACCCUCAGGGAUGGAAGAGCACCCCAAUCCCCAGUCUCUAGUCCUCCACCUGGGCCCAGUGCGCAGGAAAGAGCUUCACAAGGAAUCGGCUGUGGAGAGAACUCAGUUCAGGCACCACCCCUGUGUCAGGAGAGAUGCUUCCAGCUGCGAUGAAGCCUGAGGAAGGCCGCUGAGCCACACGGAACAGGGAGUCCAGCAGCUCCGAGCCCACGGGCC